AAAGCUUGCUUUUCCGCUGACGAGUGGCGCACGGGUGCGUAACGCGUAUAGAACCUACCUUUUACUAGGAAAUAGCCCAUGGAAACGUGGAUUAAUGUCCCAUAAUAACAUUUAAUGGCAUCAUUUGAAUGUUUAAAGCUUCGGCGGUAGAAGAUGGCUAUGCGUCCCAUUAGUUAGUAGGCGAGGUAACGGCUCACCUAGGCUUCGAUGGGUAGGGGCCCUGAGAGGGGGAUCCCCCACACUGGUACUGAGACACGGACCAGACUCCUACGGGAGGCAGCAGUGAGGAAUAUUGGACAAUGGACGAAAGUCUGAUCCAGCCAUGCCGCGUGCAGGAAGACGGCCCUACGGGUUGUAAACUGCUUUUAUACGGGAAGAAUAAGGAGUACGUGUACUCCGAUGACGGUACCGUAAGAAUAAGGACCGGCUAACUCCGUGCCAGCAGCCGCGGUAAUACGGAGGGUCCGAGCGUUAUCCGGAAUCAUUGGGUUUAAAGGGUCCGCAGGCGGGCAAUUAAGUCAGGGGUGAAAGGCUGUGGCUCAACCAUAGCAUUGCCUUUGAUACUGGUUGUCUUGAGUUAUAGUGAAGUGGCCGGAAUAUGUAGUGUAGCGGUGAAAUGCAUAGAUAUUACAUAGAACACCGAUUGCGAAGGCAGGUCACUAACUAUUGACUGACGCUGAUGGACGAAAGCGUGGGGAGCGAACGGGAUUAGAUACCCCGGUAGUCCACGCCGUAAACGAUGGAUACUAGCUGUCGGGCUUUCGGGCUCGGCGGCCAAGCGAAAGUGAUAAGUAUCCCACCUGGGGAGUACGUUCGCAAGAAUGAAACUCAAAGGAAUUGACGGGGGCCCGCACAAGCGGUGGAGCAUGUGGUUUAAUUCGAUGAUACGCGAGGAACCUUACCAGGGCUUAAAUGCAGAAUGACAGGACCAGAGACGGUUUUUUCUUCGGACAUUUUGCAAGGUGCUGCAUGGUUGUCGUCAGCUCGUGCCGUGAGGUGUCAGGUUAAGUCCUAUAACGAGCGCAACCCCUGUCGUCAGUUGCCAACAGAUAAUGCUGGGGACUCUGGCGAGACUGCCGGUGCAAACCGCGAGGAAGGUGGGGAUGACGUCAAAUCAUCACGGCCCUUACGUCCUGGGCUACACACGUGCUACAAUGGCCGAUACAGUGAGCAGCCAUCCGGCAACGGAGAGCGAAUCUAUAAAAUCGGUCACAGUUCGGAUCGGGGUCUGCAACUCGACCCCGUGAAGCUGGAAUCGCUAGUAAUCGGAUAUCAGCCAUGAUCCGGUGAAUACGUUCCCGGGCCUUGUACACACCGCCCGUCAAGCCAUGGAAGCCGGGGGUAC
rnacentral:rRNA from 1 species